AUGAAAGGUGCGGUGGGCAGAAUCCACACUCUGCCCACACCCCCUAGGGUCCCUUUUCCAUUCCCCCUGGUUGUAUGCUUUCCCUCCCAACAGCCAGCACCACCCUCAGGCCCAGAUUCACCUGCCUGUGCAUUUGGUAAACCAGUCACCCUGGAAAGAAUUCACCCCCCCGGCAGCAGCCCCUAACUAGUGACUGGCAGAUAGUCUACCUGCCUCAGCUCCUUUGCACCCGAUGAAGACAACGCCAAGGUACCUCACAAGGGAAGAGACCCAACCUGGCCCAUCACUGUAACCCACUGCUUAGAACAGUGUCUGCACACUCUUGGCGACCAGGAAUAAUGGCCACUAAGACACUGGGGACUCAGUAGGUGGGCAGUUUGGCCCAGGGAUGAGGAAUGUCAUUUCCAGCAGUCAAGGU